CACCNGUGGCGAAAGCGGCUCUCUGGUCUGUCACUGACGCUGAGGCUCGAAAGCGUGGGUAGCGAACAGGAUUAGAUACCCUGGUAGUCCACGCCGUAAACGAUGAGUGCUAGGUGUUAGGCCCUUUCCGGGGCUUAGUGCCGGAGCUAACGCAAUAAGCACUCCGCCUGGGGAGUACGACCGCAAGGUUGAAACUCAAAGGAAUUGACGGGGGCCCGCACAAGCGGUGGAGCAUGUGGUUUAAUUCGAAGCAACGCGAAGAACCUUACCAGGUCUUGACAUCCCGAUGCUAUUCUUAGAGAUAGGAAGUUACUUCGGUACAUCGGAGACAGGUGGUGCAUGGUUGUCGUCAGCUCGUGUCGUGAGAUGUUGAGUUAAGUCCCGCAACGAGCGCAACCCUUAUUGUUAGUUGCCAUCAUUAAGUUGGGCACUCUAGCGAGACUGCCGGUAAUAAACCGGAGGAAGGUGGGGAUGACGUCAAAUCAUCAUGCCCCUUAUGACCUGGGCUACACACGUGCUACAAUGGUCGGUACAACGAGUUGCGAGCCGGUGACGGCAAGCUAAUCUCUGAAAGCCGAUCUCAGUUCGGAUUGGAGGCUGCAACUCGCCUCCAUGAAGUCGGAAUCGCUAGUAAUCGCGGAUCAGCACGCCGCGGUGAAUACGUUCCCGGGCCUUGUACACACCGCCCGUCACACCACGAGAGUUUGUAACACCCGAAGUCGGUGAGGUAACCUUUUAGG
rnacentral:rRNA from 1 species